GAUGAACGCUGGCGGCGUGCCUAAUACAUGCAAGUCGAGCGAACAGACGGGGAGCUUGCUCCUCUGACGUUAGCGGCGGACGGGUGAGUAACACGUGGAUAACCUACCUAUAAGACUGGGAUAACUUCGGGAAACCGGAGCUAAUACCGGAUAAUAUAUUGAACCGCAUGGUUCAAUAGUGAAAGACGGUUUUGCUGUCACUUAUAGAUGGAUCCGCGCCGCAUUAGCUAGUUGGUAAGGUAACGGCUUACCAAGGCAACGAUGCGUAGCCGACCUGAGAGGGUGAUUGGCCACACUGGAACUGAGACACGGUCCAGACUCCUACGGGAGGCAGCAGUAGGGAAUCUUCCGCAAUGGGCGAAAGCCUGACGGAGCAACGCCGCGUGAGUGAUGAAGGUCUUCGGAUCGUAAAACUCUGUUAUUAGGGAAGAACAAAUGUGUAAGUAACUAUGCACGUCUUGACGGUACCUAAUCAGAAAGCCACGGCUAACUACGUG
rnacentral:rRNA from 1 species